UGCGGAGGGUGCGAGCGUUGUUCGGAAUUAUUGGGCGUAAAGGGCGCGUAGGCGGGUUGGUAAGUCUCUUGGUGAAAGGUUCACCGCUCAACGGGAACAUUGCCGGAGAUACUGCCAGCCUGGAGAGCGGUAGAGGUGAGUGGAAUUCCUGGUGUAACGGUGGAAUGUUUAGAUAUCAGGAAGAACACCCGUGGCGAAGGCGACUCACUGGACCGCAUCUGACGCUGAGGCGCGAAAGCCAGGGGAGCAAACGGG
rnacentral:rRNA from 1 species